UACAGAGGUCCCAAGCGUUGUUCGGAUUCAUUGGGCGUAAAGGGUGCGUAGGUGGUGGGGUAAGUCGGAUGUGAAAUCUCGGAGCUCAACUCCGAAAUGGCAUUGGAAACUACCCUGCUGGAGGUUUGGAGGGGGGACUGGAAUUCUCGGUGUAGCAGUGAAAUUCGUAGAUAUUCGGAGGAACACCAGUGGCGAAGGCGGCUCACUGGUCCAUUACUGACGCUGAGGUGCGAAAGCGUGGGGAGCAAACAGG
rnacentral:rRNA from 1 species